CAGCUCCUUAAAUAACUACAAUCCCCCACCUCUUUUUUUUUUUUUUUGGACCAUCUCAUACUCAUUAAUUCUUUAUAAAUAAAUAUAUGUAGAUAGACACAGACAUGCACAGAUGUUAAAGUAUCUAUUUAUAUAGAGAAGGAAACACCCUGUGGAGACUCUGGGACUUGCCAGGAAAAGCUACUCUCCGGGAAUCUAUUCUGCUCUAACUUCCUCUCCUGAGUCCAAUGGCUGGAAGCCUUCAUUCCUGACUUCCUUGCUCGCUCACUGUCUUUCUUCUCUUUUCAUAAUUUCCUCCUCCACCUCAAGAGGCUCCAGCCCUGAAGCCAUGCACGACUGUAGCUCCUAUCUUUGGGGUUUGGUCCAAUACCCCAUUUUUCAAAGGCAUGGGAGUCCGGCUCUUUUCAGAGUUGGUCUGGAUCACAGAGCUGUGAUGAGAAAAGUGCAUCAUGGGUGCGGAACUUCAGGGGGGAAGGAUAAUGAGUUUGUUGUGACGUGGUUAUUUUCUUAGAUCGUACAACCAACGUGGUAAUGCUGGCAUAAUAAUUCCCGGUUGCCAUUUUCUGACAUUUGAAAAGAUCUGAAGAUACGCCCCUUGGAUGCCUGCAGAGAAGCUCUGGGGCUUCAGUCAAUGACUCAGGGUAGCCACCGAACAUGAUGCUCGGGCAGUGGGUGCCACCUGGACUCCACUCUCCCCUCUCUCUGGGAUCAUAGAGUCCAAGGUGUUCUGUGGCCUCUCGGCCAAUCCCAGCAGCUCAGCGUGCAGAAGACCGAGGAGCCAUUGGUCAGUGUAGGAGGUGCCUGGAGUUUUGGAGAUGGGAUCCACAGGAAUUCAACACAACACGAAAUAAUCAACAAAUUCGGGGAAUGUUAAUCUGACCAUCACCAGUUACAAAUGAUGUUUCAUGCUACCUUCUAUUCCUGCCUUCAUAAAUCAAGCUCUAAAUCUCCAGGAAAAAAUGUGCUCAGGAUGGCCAGAGAAAUGUCCUUCCAACUGUGCAUGGAAAGGUAUGAUUUUGUGCAGCAGGUGAAGGACUGGUUAGAGUAAGUGUGUGCUGAGCUUUUGUGUUUGAAAGCGAGCCUGUGCACUUCUAACGAUUGGAAGGUUUCCUUGCCUUCUCCGAUCUUACACACAGCAAGGACAGCAAAGCCUUCCAGACCUGCCUGUGACAUGCACUGCACAUUCUAAAGAUGCCUAUGCAAUGGAAAACACCACUGUCUGCUCCAGCACAGCUGCCAUUCUUCCAUCUUAUCGACCUUAAUGCAACAACUCCUCACAGGCAGAGAUUUUAAAAUGUGUUCUUGGCAGAAGAGAGACUCAAAGAUGGGACAAAUGUGUCAUUUAAAUGCCUGUUAAAAUGGAAACAGACAUAGUAUAGUCAGAGGAUUGUGGCAGCUAAGAACAUAGUCUCUGGAGCAAAUCUGCAUGGGUGGCAAUGCCAAGCACAUGAGGUCCUAGUUGUAUGAACUUAGGAAAAGAAAAAGAGAACAUAUAUCCCCCUACCUUUUGAUUUCCAACAGUCUACUGAGAGGCCAAGAUUAUUUGCAGGGAAAGAAAAGGGGUCAAAAUGUUUUGCCAGUAACUCCCAAAUCAUCUACAGCCAAGGAGAAAAGUGUUUCAAGACAGAGGUGCUCAAUGGUAUCAAAUACUGCCAACAGACCAAGUAAUACAUGCAUUGAAGUGUCUACUGGAUCUAGCUAUAUGAAUUUUUAAUUUAGGACACUUAGGCCAUACUGAAGCAAGGUGACAAAAUGAAUAGCUACAAUGUCUCGUGAAUCUUGGGUUUCCAUUCACCCUGGUAUUCAAGAGAAAUUCUUGCAUCAUGGAAGUUGCAGUUGGAUAGGACUUUCUCAGCUGAACACUGUCAUCUGCCAGAGCUUCAGAUGAAGAAACUGAGGCAGACAGAGGUGAAGAAACUUGCACAAGGUCAAAGAACAAAGAGUCACAUUAGCAGCUGGAUAUUCAGCUGUGAAGCUCAAGGAAGAAGUCAGGGCUGGAGAUAUAUGAAUGAGAACCAUCUGCAUAAAGAUGAUCUUUAAAAUCAUGGAGCUGGAUGAAAUCUCUCUCCACUCCUCCCCACAGGGGAAUGGAGCAAUGCCCAGGGCGCCCUGGGG
rnacentral:lncRNA from 1 species